AACGAACGCUGGCGGCAGGCUUAACACAUGCAAGUCGAGCGCCCGCAAGGGAGCGGCAGACGGGUGAGUAACGCGUGGGAAUCUACCCAGUUCUACGGAAUAACCCAGGGAAACUUGGACUAAUACCGUAUACGCCCUACGGGGGAAAGAUUUAUCGGAAUUGGAUGAGCCCGCGUUGGAUUAGCUAGUUGGUGGGGUAAUGGCUCACCAAGGCGACGAUCCAUAGCUGGUCUGAGAGGAUGAUCAGCCACACUGGGACUGAGACACGGCCCAGACUCCUACGGGAGGCAGCAGUGGGAAAUAUUGGACAAUGGGCGCAAGCCUGAUCCAGCCAUGCCGCGUGAGUGAUGAAGGCCUUAGGGUUGUAAAGCUCUUUCAGUGGGGAAGAUAAUGACGGUACCCACAGAAGAAGCCCCGGCUAACUUCGUGCCAGCAGCCGCAGUAACAC
rnacentral:rRNA from 1 species